rnacentral:rRNA from 1 species
UACGUAGGGGGCAAGCGUUGUCCGGAAUCAUUGGGCGUAAAGAGCUCGUAGGCGGCUUGUCGCGUCGUUCGUGAAAACCUGCAGCUCAACUGCAGGCUUGCGGUCGAUACUGGCAGGCUAGAGUGCGGUAGAGGGUAGUGGAAUUCCCGGUGUAGCGGUGAAAUGCGUAGAGAUCGGGAGGAACACCAGUGGCGAAGGCGGCUACCUGGACCAGCACUGACACUGAGGCACGAAAGCGUGGGGAGCAAACAGG